rnacentral:rRNA from 1 species
UACGGGGGGGGCAAGCGUUGUUCGGAAUUAUUGGGCGUAAAGGGUUCGUAGGUGGCCGGCUAAGUCAGACGUGAAAUCCCUCAGCUUAACUGGGGAACUGCGUCUGAGACUGGUCGGCUUGAGUGCAGGAGAGGAACGCGGAAUUCCAGGUGUAGCGGUGAAAUGCGUAGAUAUCUGGAGGAAUACCGGUGGCGAAGGCGGCAUCCUGGACCGACAUUGACGCUGAGGAGCGAAAGCUAGGGGAGCAAACGGG